CUCAACCACUAGCCGCACCCCUAGCCCUAAUUUGUAUUUUACUUAGAGACAGGGUCUCACUGAAUUGCUUAGCACCUUGCUUUCUGCUGAGGCUGGCUUUGAACUCUCCAUCCUCCUGCCUUAGCCUCCUGAGCCACUGGGAUUACAAGUGCACCUUUGCACCCAGCUAGCACUUCUUUUUUAAAAAGAUUUUAUUUUAUAUUUGAUUGGCAUGUGUAGAUUGUGCCUUUUAAAGGGGUUUAGCAUGCUAGUUCUCACAUGCAUACAGUGUGCAGGUCCAGAUCCCACCUGCUCCUUCCAUCCCCCUACACCACCUUCACCACCUCGAGCACCCAUUUCCCACAUUCAAGUCAACCUCUUUUGGUUUCCACAUGUGAGAGGACAUGUGGUACUUGUCUGAAGAGCCAUUUUCUAACACGUCUUUUGGCAUGGUGUUUAGGGAUGCCAGGAGUUUGUAUAAAUGACCUGGUACUCAGUAAGUACUCAUUGUGUUUUAGUUUAGGUUGUGGAAGGUGACAGUCCACUGAGCAUAAUUUUAAAAAGUAGAAAUAUAGCUGGAUAACAAACUUCCAUAAGACAAAAAAGUUAACACCAAACAUCUCCCAUGUACAAAAAGAACAAAAGCCAGAUGUUAGCUCUCUCAGUAAUUAAAACCAUUCCUCUGUUUUACUUUCCCUCUCUCCAUCCCCAAGCGUGGGGUCAGAGCCAAGCCUGGUGUGUGUAUGGGGUGAGGAUGCAGAGGGUGACUGAAGGUCAGGGAGAUCUUUCCACCCUCCACGGCGGUCUUCCAGCCCAGUGCAGGCCUGAACUGGGCAGCAGACCCUCUCGCUGUGUGGGACAGGCUCUUCAUUAGUAACUUGUCUGCAGAUGUUAGCUACCAAAAAGACAUUGUUGUGCCUGAAGGUGCCUGGAGAAUAUCUUGUUAUCUGAGGGCCAGCAGGGAAGCUCUACCCAGAGUGUCACUCAGGUCAAGGGAAGAUGUAUCGGACAAAUUUGAACAGAAUGCUGGAGAGAUCAAACCAUGUUUGAAAAUUCUGAUUCUGUCUGUUGUGUACCACUCUUUCAGUG
rnacentral:lncRNA from 1 species